GUGCCAGCCGCCGCGGUAAUACGUAGGGUGCAAGCGUCAAUCGGAAUUACUGGGCGUAAAGCGUGCGCAGGCGGUUUUGUAAGACAGUGGUGAAAUCCCCGGGCUCAACCUGGGAACUGCCAUUGUGACUGCAAGGCUAGAGUGCGGCAGAGGGGGGUGGAUUCCGCGUGUAGCAGUGAAAUGCGUAGAUAUGCGGAGGAACACCGAUGGCGAAGGCAAUCCCCUGGGCCUGCACUGACGCUCAUGCACGAAAGCGUGGGGAGCAA
rnacentral:rRNA from 1 species